CUUACUUACCUGUAGUCCCUGCAAUGAAUUGCAUAUAUUAAUAGGGCUUCCAGUAUCCAAUACCCAGAGAGUAGUAUCACAAAUAGAAAAAUUAUAAAGUGUUAUCAUAUAAGUACCUUGUGAAGCAACCACUAAAUUCACUGGCUCCUUCUAGAGCUGGUGAUCUUUCUCAAAAGUCUGCAGUAACCCAAGCAAACUAUGAUAGUUUACCACA
rnacentral:lncRNA from 1 species